UACAGAGGGUGCGAGCGUUGUCCGGAAUCACUGGGCAUAAAGGGCGCGUAGGCGGCUCGGUCAGCGUGCGGUGAAAGCCCGGGGCUCAACCCCGGGUCGGCCGUGCGAACUGCUGGGCUGGAGCACUGUAGAGGCAGGUGGAAUUCCGGGUGUAGCGGUGGAAUGCGUAGAGAUCCGGAAGAACACCGGUGGCGAAGGCGGCCUGCUGGGCAGUAGCUGACGCUGAUGCGCGACAGCGUGGGGAGCAAACAGG
rnacentral:rRNA from 1 species